rnacentral:misc_RNA from 1 species
GAACGCACCUUGCGCCCAUUGGUAUUCCGAUGGGCAUGCCUGUUCGAGUGUCUUGAAUUCAUCGCCGCCUCCGGUUUCGCGACCGGCUGGCGGCGGACUUGGGGGCCUGCCGCGGCGACGCGGCUCCCCUUGAAUGGAUCGGUGGGGUCUCCGAGCACCCACGGGCGUUGUAUUGUCCUCGUCCGACCGGGCCUCGCGUCCCCCGCCUCGACUGCCGUAUGAGCGGCGGUCAAGCACACUUUGAAAUCUGACCUCGAAUCAGGUAGGACUACCCGCUGAACUUA